rnacentral:SRP_RNA from 1 species
GCCCGGCGCGGUGGCACAUGCCUGUAGUCCCGGCUAUUAGGGAGGCUGAGGCUGGAGGAUCACUUGAGUCCAGGAGUUCUGGGCUGUAGUGCUAUGCCGAUCGGGUGUCUGCACUAAGUUCGGCAUUAAUAUGGUGACCUCCCGGGAGCGGAGGACCACCAGGUUGCCUAAGGAGGGGUGAACCAGCCCAGGUCAGAAACGGAGCAGGUCAAAGCUCCCGGGCUGAUCAGUAGUGGGAUCGAGCCUGUGAAUAGCCACUGCAUUCCAACCUGGGCGACAUAUCGAGACCCUGUCUCU